GUAACACCAUCUGCGGCAACAUGGAUAGACAGAGAGAGAGUAUCAUACUAAAUGAAGUCAGAGAAAAAUAAAUACCAUACGGUACCACAUCAUAUAGAGUCUAAGAUAUGGCACAAAUGAGCUCGUGUAUAAAAGAGAAACAGAAUCACAGACAGAGACCAGACUUGUGGUUGCCAAGGUUGGGGGCACAGAGGGAGGGAUGGGUUGGGAAUUUGAGAUUAGCAAAUGCAAGCUAUUACAUAUAUGUAUAAUUGAAUCACUUUGCUGUGCACCAAAAACUAUCACAAUACUGUAAAUCAACUACACUUCAAAAAAAAUUUUUUUUAAAUAAUCACAUCUAACUUAAAGAGAUUUUGUGAAGAUUAACAUAAUACAUGUAGAAUGCUUAGAAUGGUACUACCUUAUUCAUAGUAAGUACUCAGGUUAGUGGUUAUUCUUCUAUGACUAACAUCAGCUAUUCUUCUUCCAUAAUUAUCACUUCUGGACGGGUCACAAGCCUCAGGUUGGGCUCCCAGGACGCAAAGAUGCCAAUGCUCACAUCCUAUGCCUCACUCUUUUGUCAAGGCUGCACUGUGAACCAGACAAGAGUUAGGAUCCUGUUAAACGUUCCUGUAUAGCACACACUGUGAAGGGCUCACACAGAUCACAGGUGGUAAUUGGUUUAUGGCACGUGGAGAACUGAUUAAACCAGAAACAAAUGGAGAUUCUCUGCGAAUGAGCACUGCAAACAUAUCACAUGCACACUUGCUUGCUCAGAAUGGCAGGGGGGCCUGCGAGGAGAGGGAAAGAAUGCUGUACAAUUUUCUAAGCAGUGGGAGCCUUUAGUUCAGUUGAACUAGGAGACGGUUUAUUACAGCGUUCCCAGAAUCUUCUACUGACUGGCUGAUUCAGCUAGGUUAUCAUCACUCUCAAAAUUCCUUUGUCACAUUUUCCAUUCCAAUAAUGAACUGCUAAUUUCUAAGCUCUCUCAGGCUCAAGUCCUAUAUAAUUUUCUCAUUCUCUAAUUGCUCUUUUCAUUCGACCCUGUAAAAUAAUUGGAAGGUUGCUAUGGUGUUAGGGAAUUUGAAAAGUGAGGCAAAAUUCUUAAAUUGUGGAAUUCAGUUCAGCCAGGCUGUGUGGUGGGGGCCAUUUGAAAGUGCUCUCAGGUGAGUUAUAACAAUCCCUGGGUUCGAAUAUGGGUUUC
rnacentral:lncRNA from 1 species